rnacentral:rRNA from 1 species
GAUGAACGCUGGCGGCGUGCCUAAUACAUGCAAGUCGAGCGAACAGACGAGGAGCUUGCUCCUCUGACGUUAGCGGCGGACGGGUGAGUAACACGUGGAUAACCUACCUAUAAGACUGGGAUAACUUCGGGAAACCGGAGCUAAUACCGGAUAAUAUAUUGAACCGCAUGGUUCAAUAGUGAAAGACGGUUUUGCUGUCACUUAUAGAUGGAUCCGCGCCGCAUUAGCUAGUUGUUAAGGUAACGGCUUACCAAGGCAACGAUGCGUAGCCGACCUGAGAGGGUGAUCGGCCACACUGGAACUGAGACGCGGUCCAGACUCCUGAGGGAGGCAGCAGUAGGGAAUGUUACGCAAUGGGCGAGAGCCUGACGGAGCAACGCCGCGUGAGUGAUGAAGGUCUUCGGAUCGUGAAACUCUGUUAUUAGGGAAGAACAAAUGUGUAAGUAAAUAUGCACGUCUUGACGGUAACUAAUCAGAAAGCCACGGCUAACUACGUG